rnacentral:rRNA from 1 species
GGAGUUUGGUCCGUGUCUCAGUACCAAUGUGGGGGACCUUCCUCUCAGAACCCCUACUGAUCGUCGGCUAGGUGGGCCGUUACCCCGCCUACUACCUAAUCAGACGCAUCCCCAUCCCAUAGCGAUAAAUCUUUGGUAUUGCUCAGAUGUCCUCAUAAUACAACAUAGGGCAUUAAUCCGACUUUCGCCGGGCUGUUCCCUACCUGCGGGAAGGUUGGAUACGCGUUACUCACCCGUGCGCCGGUCGCCGGCAAGCUUAGCAAGCUAAGCCCCGCUGCCCCUCGACUUGCAUGUGUUAAGCCUGUAGCUAGCGUUCAUC